rnacentral:rRNA from 1 species
UACGUAGGGUGCAAGCGUUGUCCGGAAUUAUUGGGCGUAAAGAGCUCGUAGGCGGUCUGUCGCGUCUGCUGUGAAAGCCCGGGGCUCAACCCCGGGUCUGCAGUGGGUACGGGCAGACUAGAGUGCAGUAGGGGAGACUGGAAUUCCUGGUGUAGCGGUGAAAUGCGCAGAUAUCAGGAGGAACACCGAUGGCGAAGGCAGGUCUCUGGGCUGUAACUGACGCUGAGGAGCGAAAGCAUGGGGAGCGAACAGG